rnacentral:rRNA from 1 species
AUUGAACGCUGGCGGCAGGCCUAACACAUGCAAGUCGAACGAGUGGCGGAAGGGUGAGUAAGGUAUGGGAAACUGCCCGAAGGAGGGGGAUAACUACUGGAAACGGUGGCUAAUACCGCAUACCAUGGGAUGUGACCAGAUGGGAUUAGAUAGUAGGUGGGGUAACGGCUAACCUAGGAGACGAGCCCUAGCUGGUCUGCGAGGAUGACCGGCCACACUGCAACUGAUACACGGUCCAGACUCCUACGGUAGGAAGCAGGGGGGAAUAUUGCACAAUGGGCGCAAUCCUGAUGAAGCCAUGCCGCGUGUAUGAAGAAGGCCUUCGGGUUGUAAAGUACUUUCAGCGAGGAGGCGUUACUCGCAGAAGAAGCACCGGCUAACUCCGUGCCAGCAGCCGCGGUAAUUC